AAUCAACGCUGGCGGCGUGCCUCAGACAUGCAAGUCGAACGAGAAAGUUUCCUUCGGGGAAUGAGUAAAGUGGCGCACGGGUGAGUAACACGUAGGUAAUCUACCUUCGGGUGGGGAAUAACCCAGGGAAACUUGGGCUAACACCGCAUAAUGCAGCGGCACCACAUGGUGACAGUUGUUAAAGCGGGGGAUUUUAGGACCUCGCGCCUGAAGAGGAGCCUGCGGCGGAUUAGCAGUUGGUAAGGUAACGGCUUACCAAGGCGACGAUCCGUAACCGGCCUGAGAGGGCGGGUCGGUCACACUGACACUGACAUACGGGUCAGACUCCUACGGGAGGCAGCAGUCGGGAAUUUUGGGCAAUGGGCGAAAGCCUGACCCAGCAACGCCGCGU
rnacentral:rRNA from 1 species